AUUUAACGUCCCCCCUCCUUUGUACACACCGCCCGUCGCUACUACCGAUUGAUGGCUCAGUGAGGCGUCCGGACUGGCCCAGAGAGGCGGGCAACUGCCACUCAGGGCCGGAAAGCUCUCCAAACUCGGUCAUUUAGAGGAAGUAAAAGUCGUAACAAGGUCUCCGUUGGUGAACCAGCGGAGGGAUCAUUA
rnacentral:rRNA from 1 species